UUUCUCCUGACCACUGAGAACUUGAGUAGCUUUCAUUACCUUUAAUUUACCUCCCGAGGACAUUGUUAAUUCAAAGAUAUAGCUCAUUGUAUGAUCGUAUUCGUGUCGAUUAUUUUAUUUGCACGGUCUUCAUUCGUCUGCAACAUUAAGCCAACAAGUAUUAUUAAAAGCAUUUGUUCCCAGUUUGUUCAACUGCUAGCAUUCAGCUUUACUAAAGUAUUAUCGAAAAUUUUUACAACACCAACAAAUCGUAAUUGUUUCAACUGAAAAUUCCUGAAGCCUGAUGUUUACCUAACAUGGAGACAUCGGACCAUAAACUAAGCAACAUGGAGCAGGAGAUGUUAAAACAGUUUCGUGAAGCCUUAUCUGACGUCCUGUUGCCAAAACACACCGAUGCCAUACUGUUGAAAUUCCU